AUUGAACGCUGGCGGCAUGCUUUGCACAUGCAAGUCGAACGGUAACAGGCCGCAAGGUGCUGACGAGUGGCGAACGGGUGAGUAAUGCAUCGGAACGAGCCCAGUCGUGGGGGAUAACGCAGCGAAAGCUGCGCUAAUACCGCAUACGAUCUAUGGAUGAAAGCGGGGGACCGUAAGGCCUCGCGCGAUUGGAGCGGCCGAUGUCAGAUUAGAUAGUUGGUGGGGUAAAGGCUCACCAAGCCAGCGAUCUGUAGCUGGUCUGAGAGGACGACCAGCCACACUGGGACUGAGACACGGCCCAGACUCCUACGGGAGGCAGCAGUGGGGAAUUUUGGACAAUGGGCGCAAGCCUGAUCCAGCAAUGCCGCGUGCAGGAAGAAGGCCUUCGGGUUGUAAACUGCUUUUGUACGGAACGAAACGGUCCGGGUUAAUACCCUGGGCUAAUGACGGUACCGUAAGAAUAAGCACCGGCUAACUACGUGCCAGCCGCCGCCGUAACAC
rnacentral:rRNA from 1 species